GGCGGUUGGUGCUCUGCUGCGUAGCUGCAUCUUUGUAUCUUCGUCUCGGCUUCAGGCAGAAUGAAGAAAAACGUACAAGUGCAAGAAAUAGGCCGCUCCAAGCCUGUAGCCUAUGUGGAACACCAGGGCAACCAUAUGAAUAUUAACAGCUAUUUAUUUCCCUGCUACCAUCCUGAGUGAAGGGUGACAUUCGAGACGUUUCAUGCACCUUCAGACCACUGCCAGAGAAAACACAGUUAAAAAGGAAAGUGUCCGUCAGUGAAUAUAUUUCCUGGGUACCAAACCGUCUACGAAAUACAUGAGAGUCGAAGAGGAGCCAUGUGAGUGGAUCAGCAGCAAGGACGCUCUCUUUGUGCAUAAAACUAAAAGACUUCAAAGCAAUGAAGUUGUUUCUUACCUAGAUCGUACUUGUUGUACUCACCAUCGUGAACGGGUGCAGGAAAACACAGAAAUGUAGCGACGAAUUUAUGAGCAGCAUAUUCAGUGCAGGUAACUGAUGGCAACACAAGACAUUUCCUGCUAUUGUGAGCUGGCAGUGAGAGCAUACUAAGUACCUGUCUUAAAAAUUAUCAUCAGAAAUGUAGAGGAGUCGGGUUGUUGUCGUGAGCUGAGCUGUGAGCUGUCUCUCUGAGUAUUCUGUCAUUGGUCUGUCUGAGCUUUCCAUUGCACUCGUUCGCCAUGCUGAUAAGCUGCAUGCACUAUAUUGUACUACCACUUUUGUGAUAUGCAGGAUGGCAUAGCAACAUGUUAUAUAAACAUUAAUGUGAUUGUUAUGUAUUUUAAAAGAUAAGGGAUUGCAUGAGGUAACAAGAAGCCAAAGAAGCCAAACAGUGAGCCAAAGCAACUGCAGGAGCAGAGAACAACAACAACAACAACAACAAAAUGUAAAGGAGAGCGGGUAAGAUUGGGGGUGUAAUUGGCGACAGAUAUAUUUGAUGCAGAUCAGCAUGCACUUUUUUAUAACCACUUUCCCUCCCUAGGUUUGUGUAGAGUUACUCACAACCACCCUCUCUAAGCACGGGUGGAGUGAAGGCAUGCUGAAUUCCCUAUGCGCGGAACUGUAGAGGUGCCACAAGGCAUCAUUUUCUGGGUAUCUUUGUCACUAUACUUGGUUCAUGAAUUACGAUCAGACUCGUGGCAAAAUGGAGUAAUGUUUAGAUGGGCUUCUCUUUGGUGCCGUGCAAAUGUAGUCUUAACUAGGGAAAUUUCGUUUUUGAUAAAUCGUGUGAUGAUAAACUUCAGAACAAAUUAAUCCUUCUGAAACAUCACAAGGUGACAAAACAAAAUGCGAUCAAAUACGAAUGACUGCAUGUGUCUAUCUAGCGACUUUUCUUCUUGUUUUCUGAUAUGGGUGGGCCUGUCAUCUUACAGUGUUGCAGCUUUUUCUUCAUGUUUAUGCCGUGGCCAUUUUACAAUAUCUUGCCUUAUCGUUUAAGACGGGUAACAGAAAAAAACGGGUAUGAAAAAUUAGGCUUCAGCAUUGCCUUUGUGGUUUUGUUUUCGGUACAAAACAUUAUCUUAUUUGUAAUGUGCCUGAGAAAGUAUGCUCGUUCAUUCAAGCUAACUUUCUUUACCUAUUUAAUGAUAUGUCAUAUUUGUGUGAAUGUGUAAAAUGCUACAUAAACUUUAUCCUUCAGAGCAGGAAACUGUUUUAACAUUUUGUUCGUUGUCAAUAACACACAAUUUGUUUACUUAUUGUGCACCUGAAAGAGCAUGGUCCAGUUCUGCUAUAGCUGCUUAUUUAAUUUUAGACAAAUUUGUGAAUGCACCAAACGAGCAUAGAACAGUACUUGUCAGCUUUCUAGAGCAGAAAACUGUUGGAACAGCUAAAGUUCUACUGUGUUUUCACUCUUCCGCUCAGGAGAGUUCUUUGAUCCAUAAUGGGCUAGAACAAGAACGCUAGUUCAUUAACAAAUUUCCUUGAUUUAAUGGUACAGGUUAUAUGCCAUUUAGUGUAACAUUGCCUUAUUUUGUGUUCACUUUUCUAAAAUGGUUUGCACACGUGUCAAAGCCAUCUACUUUAUUGUACUAGAAAAUACGUCAAACGUAAUAACUCCUUGUUGAUACAGUGGUUUCAGUCCCCCUAGAUUGUCAUUAUGAUUGCCUAUUCAGUGUCUUUGUGCUACAAUUGUACUUACCGGGCCACAACUGUGACCAAGUGAGCUUUACUGUUCCCUGUCGGCACAGAGAGACUACAAUAAACUUGUCUGUAUUUUGUCUUUUGCGUCACAGGUGCAUGACUGUAUAAGCUUACAAACACGUGAAUUUCUCCAAUGCAUACUGAAUGAUUUACAAAGCUUAGGUAGGAGGAUGCAUUUGCAGACAUUUUUUCAUGGCAGUGCAAUUACCAACACGAACCCUUUUAAGAAGCCCUCCAUUUGGACCCCUGACCGACAACUACAUCAAGGCGGUCUAUAACGAUAUCAAUAAGCUAGUCGGCGAGUCAAUUAACGUUAAAAAUCCUAACUUAUCCAAAGCUGAGAUGAUUGCUUUACG